rnacentral:rRNA from 1 species
GUGGGGAAUAUUGGACAAUGGGCGAAAGCCUGAUCCAGCCAUGCCGCGUGUGUGAAGAAGGUCUUCGGAUUGUAAAGCACUUUAAGUUGGGAGGAAGGGCAGUAAGUUAAUACCUUGCUGUUUUGACGUUACCGACAGAAUAAGCACCGGCUAACUUCGUGCCAGCAGCCGCGGUAAUACGAAGGGUGCAAGCGUUAAUCGGAAUUACUGGGCGUAAAGCGCGCGUAGGUGGUUUUGUAAGGUGGAGGUGAAAUCCACGGGCUCAACCUGGGAACUGCCUGCAAAACUGCAUGACUAGAGUACGGUAGAGGGUAGUGGAAUUACCUGUGUAGCGGUGAAAUGCGUAGAUAUAGGAAGGAACACCAGUGGCGAAGGCGACUACCUGGACUGAUACUGACACUGAGGUGCGAAAGCGUGGGGAGCAAACAGGAUUAGAAACCCCAGUAGUCC